CUUGAAGAAACAGUGAUUUUUUUUUUUUUUGAAUAAAUGUAAAAUUUUUAUUCAAAACUAUUUUUUGUACAUCAAAUGCUUCUAUUUUAAGUAUAAACAAGCAGAAAGCUCUAGCAAACUAACUCAAAAUUUCAUGGCCUUGACUCUCUAGUCCCAAACCAUGUGGACAAGCUCUCCUCAAAAUGUUUUUCCCCAAUCCCUUCACCAUUAGAAGCUUUAAGCGGAUUGCUUUAUCCACAAAUCUAGUAAUCAUGCCUGCACUUUGUAGUUUUUCUCCAUGUCUACGGUUGUUCCUUUCUCUCCAUAAGGCAUGAACCGUGGCUUGGAAUGUGUAUCGUAGAAGGAAUCGUUUAGUUGGUGGUAAAAUGGUUUGCGAGACCAUCCCAACUAUAUGAUUCCAUUCCGUGGUGAAAACUCCUUGCAAGAUACCCCUC
rnacentral:lncRNA from 1 species